rnacentral:rRNA from 1 species
UACGAAGGGGGCUAGCGUUGUUCGGAAUUACUGGGCGUAAAGGGCGCGUAGGCGGUGUGUCAAGUCAGGCGUGAAAGCCCCGGGCUCAACCUGGGAACCGCGCUUGAGACUGGCACGCUCGAGUUCGGGAGAGGAUGGUGGAAUUCCCAGUGUAGAGGUGAAAUUCGUAGAUAUUGGGAAGAACACCAGUGGCGAAGGCGGCUAACUGGUCCGGUACUGACGCUGAGGUGCGAAAGCGUGGGGAGCAAACAGG